GUGGGGAAUAUUGGACAAUGGGCGAAAGCCUGAUCCAGCCAUGCCGCGUGUGUGAAGAAGGUCUUCGGAUUGUAAAGCACUUUAAGUUGGGAGGAAGGGCAGUAAGUUAAUACCUUGCUGUUUUGACGUUACCGACAGAAUAAGCACCGGCUAACUUCGUGCCAGCAGCCGCGGUAAUACGAAGGGUGCAAGCGUUAAUCGGAAUUACUGGGCGUAAAGCGCGCGUAGGUGGUUCAGCAAGUUGAAGGUGAAAUCCCCGGGCUCAACCUGGGAACUGCCUCCAAAACUACAUGACUAGAGUACGGUAGAGGGUAGUGGAAUUUCCUGUGUAGCGGUGAAAUGCGUAGAUAUAGGAAGGAACACCAGUGGCGAAGGCGACUACCUGGACUGAUACUGACACUGAGGUGCGAAAGCGUGGGGAGCAAACAGGAUUAGAAACCCGGGUAGUCC
rnacentral:rRNA from 1 species